GUAUAUAACUUUAUGGGCAUCAAAGACCCAGAUCAACAUUCUAUUACAUUCGUAGGAGUAUAUGAGUAACAUAGAACCUAGAGAGACAAGGAAAAGCUGGCACUUCAUUCAAAAGGCACAGCAGUCCCCAAAACCUAUCCUGAUUGCUCAAGACAAUUUGCUUUCUCCAAGGUCUACAAAAAGGUGCACAGGUGGAAAAAAAUAAAUAAAUGACAAGCGUGCACACUACCCUAGAAGGGCCAGCAACAGCCUAUCAAAUGUUUAUUCAAUAAUGAUCCUUCCGCAGGUUCACCUACGGAAA
rnacentral:misc_RNA from 1 species